UAAGAAGGGGGCUAGCGUUGUUCGGAAUCACUGGGCGUAAAGCGCACGUAGGCGGAUUUGUAAGUCAGGGGUGAAAUCCCGGGGCUCAACCCCGGAACUGCCUUUGAUACUGCGAAUCUCGAGUCCGAUAGAGGUGGGUGGAAUUCCUAGUGUAGAGGUGAAAUUCGUAGAUAUUAGGAAGAACACCGGUGGCGAAGGCGGCCCACUGGAUCGGUACUGACGCUGAGGUGCGAAAGCGUGGGGAGCAAACAGG
rnacentral:rRNA from 1 species